GAGUGCAGCAAAAAUGCUGUUGGAAAUUCCUUAAUAGUUUUCUCGAAGACAAAAUAAGACGGUCUGUCUUCAUCAACCUGACCUGUGUCCAGUGCUUCUCUGUGAAUCAGCCUCACUCGUCUCACCUGGGUUCCUGGGUCUGUGGGAGCUGGAUCCAAUCCCAGCAGUCACUCGGUGAGGACUGGGUCCACCCUGGACAGUUCACCAGUCCAUUAUAGGCGGGAGUCUUUGCAACCCACACGGCUGCCACAGGAGGCGCCAUUAAGUAUGCCGUUCCUCUUGGGCUCAAACCCAGUACUUUCUGUGAUUCUGACACAUCAGGAAGCCAUGUGGUUGCAGAAAAACAAAGUGAGGAGACAACUUGACUCUACGGUACGGGUCAAGGGGGCGCCGUAGCCAAUCCCAGGAAUCAUCGUGAGGGGGCGAGUACACCCUGGACAGUUCACUUGUCUAUCACAGGGCGACAUAAAGAGACAAUAUUCAGAAUGAGGAAGAAGCAAGGUCUUAAAGCAUUCUAUGUGAGAACUUUAAACUAGGAAAUACCCAAACACAACAGCCAAGGAAUAUUUCACCUCUCCAUGCUUCACCUGUGGGAAACUUAGACUUCACCAGACUGAAAGGGUCCAAUGAUGUAUGUGGCAUACCCCUGAUGUCUGUGGAGAAUCAGAGAAUCCAACAGCAGGGACAGUAACACAGCCAGCCCGGGUGAAUUAUGAGCCUGCUGGAAUUUUCUUUUGCCUUAAUUGAAAAUUGCAUGACAUUGAUAUAAAUGAAGCAGAACUCUCUAAUAACAGUUUUCUUUUCCUUGUCUGACAUGUGAUUGAGUUACAAAGGGGAAUGCUUUUGCAACAGGUGCCUCUAACACAGUACAGGCGCAGGGGCUUCCAUGGACCCUCAGUAACCUCCCUCUGCCCCAGAGCCUUAAGCCUGCCAGGGAAAUCUGAUUCCAGUUCAGACACCGGCAAACUGUGCUGCUGCCUUUCAGUCAACCACUAUGUUUGUAUGAUAUGUUUGUAUUUGUGUGUUAGACUGUUGGAAGUCCAAAAGCAAAUAUGAAUUUUGAGGAAUCAAAAGGUUCUGCGGUAAACGUCCGGUCCAUUACAUGCUAUGACAAUGACCGGAACUGCAGUACUUUUUAUUUUUAUUUAUUCAUGUUCUACCACUUACUCCUUUCCAGGGUCACAUGCAGAGCAGCAGCCAAUCCCAGCAGUCACCAGGUGUGGGACUAGUACAGCGUUAGAGUGGACGACUCCUCCAUGGUUUUGGACUUUGGUGAAGAUCCACACACACCAGGAGAACAUACAAACUCCAUACAAAGAGGCCGGGAUCAAACCAAUUAACAGGAUUUAUGCUUUCGCAGCCAAUCAGCAGCUCCCAGUCCUGGAUUUUUGUUACAUGGACCAAGGGGUGUGGCUCAGCUAUUUUAAUUUUGAGGAUGCUUUAACUGUUUCAAGGCCAAAGUUAAUGCAAGUGAUGUUAAUGUAAUAAUCAUACAGAAA